rnacentral:rRNA from 1 species
UACGGAGGGUGCAAGCGUUACUCGGAAUUACUGGGCGUAAAGGGUGCGUAGGUGGUUGUUUAAGUCUGUUGUGAAAGCCCCGGGCUCAACCUGGGAAUGGCAAUGGAUACUGGACAGCUAGAGUGCGGUAGAGGGUAGUGGAAUUCCCGGUGUAGCAGUGAAAUGCGUAGAGAUCGUAAGGAAGACCAGUGGCGAAGGCGGGUCUCUGGACAGUUCCUGACACUGAGGCACGAAGGCCAGGGGAGCAAACGGG